rnacentral:rRNA from 1 species
UACGGAGGGGACUAGCGUUGUUCGGAAUUACUGGGCGUAAAGCGCACGUAGGCGGAUUUGUAAGUCAGGGGUGAAAUCCCGGGGCUCAACCUCGGAACUGCCUUUGAUACUGCAAAUCUCGAGUCCGGAAGAGGUGAGUGGAAUUCCUAGUGUAGAGGUGAAAUUCGUAGAUAUUCGCAAGAACACCAGUGGCGAAGGCGGCUCACUGGCCCGAUACUGACGCUGAGGCACGAAAGCGUGGGGAGCAAACAGGG